UACGUAGGGUGCAAGCGUUUAAUCGGAAUUACUGGGCGUAAAGCGUGCGCAGGCGGUGAUGUAAGACAGGUGUGAAAUCCCCGGGCUUAACCUGGGAACUGCAUUUGUGACUGCAUCGCUGGAGUGCGGCAGAGGGGGAUGGAAUUCCGCGUGUAGCAGUGAAAUGCGUAGAUAUGCGGAGGAACACCGAUGGCGAAGGCAAUCCCCUGGGCCUGCACUGACGCUCAUGCACAAAAAGCGUGGGGAGCAAACAGG
rnacentral:rRNA from 1 species